UGAAGGAUGAUGUUGUGUAGUGGUUGCUAUGGCAUACUGGAAGAUGAUGUUGUGUAGUGGUUGCUAGGGGAUGCUGGAAGUUGAUGUGUAGUGGUCGCUAUGGGAUACUGGAAGAUGAUGUUGUGUAGUGGUUGCUAGGGGAUGCUGGAAGAUGAUGUGUGUAGUGGUCACUAGG